rnacentral:rRNA from 1 species
CAGCCGCCGCGGGAAUACGAAGGGGGCUAGCGCUGCUCGGAUUUACUGGGCGUAAAGGGCGCGUAGGCGGACAGUUUAGUCGGGGGUGAAAGCCCGGGGCUCAACCUCGGAUUUGCCUUCGAUACUGGCUGUCUUGAGUACGGGAGAGGUGAGUGGAACUCCGAGUGUAGAGGUGAAAUUCGUAGAUAUUCGGAAGAACACCAGUGGCGAAGGCGACUCACUGGCCCGUUACUGACGCUGAGGCGCGAAAGCGUGGGGAGCAAACAGGAUUAGAUACCCCCGUAGUCCCUGUCUCUUAUAC